CCAUCGACAUGAACAGCGAGUUGGAGCUGAGUGCUUUGUUGAUACCCCAGCCAGGCAUGGCCCCGAUUCCUCUGGACAUUUAUCUGAAGCAGCAGCAGCUUUGGGACAGGGCUGACACCAAUUUCACUUCCAGUCUAAAGCGACCCACCUUAUCUACGUUAACUGUGGAUGUAGCCAACAAGGAAGUUUCAUGCGUGGAUAUCAAGCCCCUG